rnacentral:rRNA from 1 species
GGCCUAACACAUGCAAGUCGAGCGGAUGAAGAGAGCUUGCUCUCUGAUUCAGCGGCGGACGGGUGAGUAAUGCCUAGGAAUCUGCCUGAUAGUGGGGGACAACGUUUCGAAAGGAACGCUAAUACCGCAUACGUCCUACGGGAGAAAGCAGGGGACCUUCGGGCCUUGCGCUAUCAGAUGAGCCUAGGUCGGAUUAGCUAGUUGGUGAGGUAACGGCUCACCAAGGCGACGAUCCGUAACUGGUCUGAGAGGAUGAUCAGUCACACUGGAACUGAGACACGGUCCAGACUCCUACGGGAGGCAGCAGUGGGGAAUAUUGGACAAUGGGCGAAAGCCUGAUCCAGCCAUGCCGCGUGUGUGAAGAAGGUCUUCGGAUUGUAAAGCACUUUAAGUUGGGAGGAAGGGCAUUAACCUAAUACGUUAGUGUUUUGACGUUACCGACAGAAUAAGCACCGGCUAACUUCGUGCCAGCAGCCGCGGUAAUACGAAGGGUGCAAGCGUUAAUCGGAAUUACUGGGCGUAAAGCGCGCGUAGGUGGUUUGUUAAGUUGAAUGUGAAAGCCCCGGGCUCAACCUGGGAACUGCAUCCAAAACUGGCAAGCUAGAGUAUGGCAGAGGGUGGUGGAAUUUCCUGUGUAGCGGUGAAAUGCGUAGAUAUAGGAAGGAACACCAGUGGCGAAGGCGACCACCUGGGCUAAUACUGACACUGAGGUGCGAAAGCGUGGGGAGCAAACAGGAUUAGAUACCCUGGUAGUCCACGCCGUAAACGAUGUCGACUAGCCGUUGGGAUCCUUGAGAUCUUAGUGGCGCAGCUAACGCAUUAAGUCGACCGCCUGGGGAGUACGGCCGCAAGGUUAAA